rnacentral:rRNA from 1 species
UACGGAGACCUCGAGCGUUACUCGGAUUUACUGGGCGUAAAGGGUGAGCAGGCGGCCAGGUGUGUUAGGUGUGAAAUCCCGGGGCUUAACCCCGGAACUGCGCCUAAAACUACCUGGCUAGAGUCUCGGAGAGGACAGUGGAAUUCUAGGUGUAGCGGUGAAAUGCGUAGAUAUCUAGAGGAACACCAGUGGCGAAGGCGACUGUCUGGACGAGUACUGACGCUCAAUCACGAAAGCGUGGGUAGCGAAAGGG